CUCCGGAGCUGAUAGAGACCUGCGCUUUGACGAGUGGCAGCUGUUCUAUGUGGGCAGUUUGCAACUGUCUCUUGCUGGAGCAGAAGGGCUGCAGGUUGGCUUGGAGACAGCACUGCUUGACAGAAGAUACCUGCUUUCCUAAUGCCCGCAAAAGUACAAGGCCCAAGAGUAUGAACUUCUUGGAGCUGCUUUGCACUUGAUGCAAUCCUGGCCUCAGUAGAGAAGCCUGUCAAGUGGAGCUGGAGGUCUCUGAUAGAGGAGAACAUGGACACCGUGGUGCCAGCAUUCCUCAGGCUUUGAUCCUUGGACCAGCUUGAUCCUGCAUUCUUACAUUAGUGGGUGAUAGCACUGAACUUCCAGAAGCAGUGGUCUUCAUUUCAUGUGGCAAAUGCUUGUAAAGUGGGUUCUGCCCUUAUAAGUAAAGAACAGAGGAGCGAAAGGUUGGCUUGGAGUACUCGGAGACAGCACUGCUUGACAGAAGAUACCCUGCUAUCCUAAUGUCCUCAAAAGUACAACACCCAAGAGUAUGAACUUCCUGGAGCUGCUUUGCACUUGAUGCAAUCCUGGUCUCAGUAGAGAGGCCUUGCAAGUGGAGCUGGAGGUCUCGGGUAGAGGAGAACAUGGAGUCGGUGGUGCCAGCAUUCCCCAGCCUAGUGGGAGCUGGUGUGCCACUGCCUUGACAUUACUGACCCUACCUCAGAGGACUCCCAGCAUACUGGACUGUACCUGUCUUAGGUUGUCCUAUUUUCCAGGAUUGACUUCCAGCCCUCAAAGAGAUAUCACUCCAGAGGCAUGUCAUACAAGGGGGAGAUGAGGAACGGCCUACAGGAUGGUCUCAUGGAUCUCUGCCAUUCAUGCUUUCAUCACUUCCUUGGGGGAGGGGUUGUGCAAUAAGGAUUUUCAGGAGCCAUCAGCACCUGGAAGGUCACCUUAUUUAUUGAAUGCUGUCUUGAGAUAUGCUGUGUGAAACACUUAAAAUAAUAAUUAUUACACCAUUCCUCCCACCAUAACAUAAGUGGCUAUUCAAGAGGGAUCAAACAGCUAUUGUCUCACACUUUUCCAAGAAUCUGGCAUCAAGUGAAAGCAGAGAUACACUGGUCAUAUUGAAACUGGCUAUGUUCUCCCUUAACAGCA